GCCACACCUGUGCACAGCAGGUGUUACAGCUCUUCCUGGGUUUCAGAUAACCCUCCUUCCGCCACUCCAGAAGAACUCGGAACUGCAACCCUUCAGACUCCCGCUUCCACCAGCAAACUUCGGGUCUUUUUAAAGAGCACAAGCUCCAGACGCGCAGGCUCAGCAGCCAUGGCUCACAGGCCCAGCCGCUCCGUGGCAUGUGGGAUCCUCCCAGACCGAGGCACGAACCCGUGUCCCCUGCAUCGGCAGGCAGACUCUCAACCACUGCGCCACCAGGGAAGCCCAUCCUGCUUCUUAAGUAUGCGGACCUCUCACUGUUGUGGCCUCUCCCAUUGUGGAGCACAGGCUCCGGACAUGCAGGCUCAGUGGCCAUGGCUCAUGUGCCCAGCUGCUCUGCGGCAUGUGGGAUCUUCCCGGACCGGGGCACGAACCCGUGUCCCCUGCAUCAGCAGGCGGACUCUCAACCACUGCGCCACCAGGGAAGCCCUCACAACUUUUAUUCAUACUGGUAUUGGAAAUUUUUGCUAGAGCAAUUAGGCAAGAAAGAGAAAUAAAAGGUAUCCAAAUCAGAAGGGAAGAAGUAAAAUUUCACUAUUUGCAGAUGACAUAUUAUUUAUAGAAAAUCCUAAAGACUCCACCAGAAAACUGUUUGAACUAAUUAAUGAAUUCAACAACGUUGCAGGAUACAAAAUCAGUAUCUGAAAAUUGUUGCAUUUUUCUAUGCUAACAAUAUUAGAAUGAGAAAUUAAGAAAACCAUCCAUUUACAACCGAAUCAGAAAAAUAAAAUGCCUAGGAAUAAAUUUAACCAGGUGGGUGAAAGACCUGUACCCUGAAAAAUAUAUGACAUUUAUGAAAGUAACUGAAAAAGGUACAGACAAAUUGAAAUAUAUUUUGUGCUCACGGAUUGGAAGAAGUAAAGUUGUUAAAAUACCUGUAUUACUGAAGCAAUCUCCAGAUUCAAUGCAAUCCUUAUCAAAAUUCCAAUGGCAUUUUUUUUUACAGAAAGAACAAAAAAAUUCUAAAAUUUGUAUGAGACCACAAAGGACCACAAAUAGCCAAAGCAAUCCUGAGAAAGAACAAAGCUGGAUGCAUCAUGCUCCCUGAUUUCAAACUAUAUUACAAAGCUAUAGUAAUCAAUAUAGUGUUGUAUUGGCAUAAAACAGACAUAUAGAUCAAUCGAACAAAAUAAGGAGCCCAGAAAUAAACCCAUGUAUAUAUGGUCAAAUAGAUCAUGACAAAGAAACCAAGAAUAUACAAUGGGAAAGAAUGGUCUCCUCAAUAAAUGGUGUAGGGAAAACUGUACAGCCACAUGCAAAAGAAUGAAAUGGACCACUACCUUACUCCAUACUAACUAACAAACAAACUACUAAGUACUAACUACAAAAUAAUACUACUAACAAACUAACUACUAACACAUAAAAACUCAAAUGGAUUAAAGAAUUGAAUGUAAGGCCUGAAAUCAUAACACUCCUAGAAGAGAAACCGUAAACAAAAUGAAAGGACAACCCAUGGAAUCGGAGAAAAUAUUUGCAAAUGAUGUGACUGACAAUGAAUUCAUUUCCAAAAUAUACAAACAAGUCAAACAGUUUAAUAUAUAUAAAAAAAAUCCAAUCAAAAAAUGGGCAGAAGACUCAAUAGACAUUUCUCCAAAGAAGACAUACAGAUAGCCAACAGGCACAUGAAAAGAUGCUCAACAUGGAUAAUUUUUAGAGAAAUGCAAAUCAAAACCACAAUGAGGUAUCAUCUCACGCCAAUCAGCAUGGACAUCAUCAAAAAGCCUACAAAUAAUAAACGCUGGAGAGGGUGUGGAAAAAAGGGAGCCCCCCCUUCACUGUUGGUAGGAAUGUAAAUUGGUGUAGCCACUAUGGAGAACAGUAUUGAGGUUCCUUAAAAAACUAAAACUCGAACUACCAUAUGAUCCUGCAAUCCCAUUCCUGGGCAUAUAUCCAGAAAAGACAAAAACUUCUAAGUCAAAACAAUAUAUGCAUUCCAAUGUUCAUAGCAACACUAUUUACAAUAGCCAAGACACGGAAGCAACCUAAAUGUCCAUUGACAGAUGAAUGGAUAAAGGAGAUGUUUGUGUAUAGACACACACACAUAUAUAUUUAUAUAAUAGAAUAUUAUUCAGCCAUAAAAAGAAUGAAAUAAUGCUAUUUGCAGCAACAUGGUGGACCUAUCAUACUAAGUAAAGUCAGAGGAAGAAAAAUAUAAUAUGAUAUCACUUAUAUGUGGAAUCUAAAAAACAUGAUACAAACGAACUUAUUUACAAAACAGAAAUAGACUCACAAACAUAGAAAACCAACUUAUGGUUACCAAAGGGGAAAGCAGGGGCAGUGAGGGGAGGGAUAAAUCAGGCAUUUGGGAUUAACAUAUACACACUACUACAUAUAAAAUAGAUAACCAACAAGGACAUACUGUAUAGCACAGGGAACUAUAUUCAAUAUUUUAUAAUAACCUAUAAUGGAAAUGAAAAAAGAAUACAUAUAUUCAUAUAUAUAUAUAUAUAUAUAUAUAUAUAUAUAUAUAACUGAAUAACUUUAAAAAGAAAACUCCUAGAAGAAAACAUAAGUGGUAAGCUCUUUGGCAUCAUUCUUGCCAAGUGGGACUAUAUCAAACUAAAAAACUUCUGCACUGUAUCAACUAAAUGAAAAGGCAAUCUAUUGAAUGGGAGGAAAUAUUUGCAAAUCAUAUGUCUCACAAGGGGCUAAAUUCCAAAAUAUUAAAAACUCAUACAACUCAAUAGCAAAAAAACUCCAAACAAUCUGAUUAAAAAAUGGGCAGAGGCUCUGGAUAGACAUUUUUCCAAAGAUGACAUACAGCUAACCAACUGGUACAUGAAAAGAUGCUCAACAUCACUAAUCAUCAGAGAAAUGUGAAUCAAAACCACUAUGAAAUAUUACCUCACACCUGUUAGAAUGACAUUAUCAGAAAGAAAUAAUUAUUGGCAAAGAUGUGGUAAAAUGGGACGUUUGUGCACUGUUAGUGGGAAUGUAAAUUGGUGCAGCCCCUGUGGAAAACAAUGUGAAGGUUCUUCAAAAAAAUUAAAACAUAACUACCAUAUAAUCCAGCAAUUCCACUUCUAGUCAUUUAUCUGAGGAAAAUGAUAAUGCUCUCUCAAAAACGAUAUAUGCACUCCCACAUUUUAAAAUACAUCUCUAUUAGAGUAUAAUUGCUUCGCAAUACUAUGUUGUACAACAAAGCAAAUCAGCCAUAUGCAUACAUAUAUCCCCAUAUCCCCUCCCUCUUGAUCCUCCCUUCCACCCUCCCUAUCCCACCCCUCUAGGUGGUCACAAAGCACCGAGCUGAUCUCCCUGUGCUAUGCGGCUGCUUCCCACUAGCUAUCUAUUUUACAUUUGGUAGUGUAUAUAUGUCAACACUACUCUCACUUUGCCCCAGCUUCCCCCUCCCCCCUGCAUCCUCAAGUCCAUUAUCUACGUCUACGUCAUGUAGCUCUCCACAUUUUUUACAGUAUUAUUUACAACAGCCGAGACAUGAAAGCAACCUUAGUGUCCAUUGAUGGAUGAAUAGAUUCAUUCAUAUAAAUUAAUAUAAAUAUAUAUAGUAUAUAUACACACUAUAUAUAUCAAAUACAUAAACACACAUAUAUACAACGGUGUUGUAUUCCACCAUAAAAAAUGAAAUCAUGAAUUUGUGGCCACAGGGGUGGACCUUGAGGGUAUUAUGCCAAGUGUAAUAAGUCAGACAGAGAAAGACAGAAACUGUAUGAUUGCACUUAUAUGUGUAGAAUCCAAAACAAUUGAAAACAAAUCUGAGCUUAUGGACACAGAGAACAGUUGUUGGUUACCAGAGGUGAGGGGUGGGAGGUGGGUAAAAUGCGUGAAACAGCAAAGGUACAAACUUUUAUUAUAAAAUAAAUUAUGAGGAUGUAAUAUACAGCAUGGUGACUAUAGUUAAUCAUACCCUAUUUUAUAUUUGAAAGUUGCUGAGAGAGUAGGUCAUAAAAGUUCUAAUCACAAGAAAAAGCACUAUGUCUAGUGGUAGAGGUUAACUAGUCUUAUUGUGGUGAUUAACUUGCAAUAUAUACAAAUAUUGAAUCAGUAUGUUGUACACCUGAAACGAAAAGAAUGUAUGUCAACUAUAUCCCAAAAAGUCAAUGUUAGCUAAUAUUUAUAUUAUUCUUUGCAGAUAUUAUUUCUUUUGCUUUUCAGGUACCUUUAUGAUCUUUUCUUUGUCUUGGUGUUCAAUUUCAUUAUGAUUUGUCUAGGUUUGGAUUUACUUCUAUUUAUCUUUUUAAAAGUUUGUUUUUCUUCCAUAUCCUAUGAAUUCAUAUCUUUACAUCUUUAUUUUUAUAAUUCUCAGCUAUAAUCUCUUCAAAUAUUGUCUCUUCCUCAUUCUCUAUUGUAUCUUUCUGACACCCCAAUUAUAUGACACUCCAAUUUUAAAGAUGUUAGAACUUAUCAUUAUAAAUUAAACGUCUUUUCAACUCUAAUAUUUUCUAAGCCCUCUCUUCUCUGAGCUAAUAAUUUUGUUUCUAGUUUCAUAAUUCUUUCUUCAGCUGUGCCUAAUCUGUUCUUUAUCCCCUGAGAUUAUAUUUUUAACUUUUUUUCCACUCCUAGGGGUUUGAUUUUUUUCAAAGCUUGUCUCCAUUUUUGUUGGUGAUUUAUUUUCUUGAUGAGCAUUUGAGUAUCUCUUUUACUUCUUUAUACAUUUAAACACUUCUAUUAUUUUUUGUUUUCUGGCCAAUAAUUCUAAUAUCUGAAGUCUUGGGUGGGUGUUGGAGGAGGUAAUCAAGAGGACAUGACCUCCAGUUGGCUCUCAAACUGGACACAGCAGUCAGAGGCUUUUCACCUCUCUCCCUGUGCUUGGAAUGUACACUGUCCCCCGUUCCCACAAUGGGAACCAUUUUCAAGGAUGCAGUCUUGAGAGAACAACGUGUUAUUGAGACUUUCUGGAUGGCAUGUGUGACUGACCUUCUACAUAAACUUUCAAAAUUUGGGGGGUGUCAGUGCAGAGAUCUCCUUGUCUUGCAGCUGCUCAAGAGAAGCUUCAUAUGGAAGUUCCCUGCCCUCUGUGUAUGGGGACCAGUUUCACAUUUCAUCUGGGACGCUCUUGAAGCAAUUGCAAACUAACUGUGGGGGACAGGAAUCUCUGCUGGUUGUUGUUUCUGCUGUUUCUUGUUUGUGGAAUCUUGAAAGGAUCGAGGUAUGUCCCUUCAGAAAGACAAAUAUCAUAUGAUAUCACUUAUAUGUGGAAUCUAAAAAAUAUGAUACAAAUUAACUUAUUUACAAAACAGAAAUAGACUCACAGAUUUCAAAAACAAAAUUCUGAUUACCAAAGGGGAAACAUGGUGGGGAGGGAUAACUUAGGAGUUUGGGAUUAACAUAUACACACUAGUGUAUAUAAAAUAGAUAAUCAACAAGGACCUACUGUAUAGCACAGGGAACUUUAUAUUCUGUAAUAACCUAUUGGGAAAAGAAUCUGAAAAAGAAUGGAUAUAUGUAUAUGUAUCCACUGAAUCAUUGAAUUACUUUGUGGUACACCUGGAGAUAACACAAUAUUGUAAAUCAACUAUACUCCAGUAUAAAAAAAUUUUUAAUAAUUUAAAAUUAGACUAAGAAACCUACUAGAGCAUAUCACUAAUAUAAAUCAAGAACAAAGAAACAUAGCAAAGUCUCAAGCACAAAUAUUAGGUAUAAAAACAUAAUACUUAAAGUAAAAGACCUAAUAGGUAGGCUGGAUAGCAGAAUGGAUAUGACUGAGGAACAAAUCAUUAAAUUGGAAGAUCUGAUAGAGGAAGUAUCCCUGAAGGAGAGAACAAAGACAAGGGAUUUUUUUUUUCAUUUAGAAAGACUAAUACUCAGAUAAUGGGAAUUUUAGAAAGAAGGAGAAAUAAAAUUGAAGAACUCAUGAAAAAAAACUUUCUUGGAAUUAGAAAAAAAGAUGAAGACCUCAGAUUGAAGACAUCACAGAAUGACAAAGAAGAUGAUAAGGGCAGAGCCACAUGUAGGCAAAUGGUAGUAAAAUUUAACAACAUCAAAGACAAAUUCCAAAAGCUGAUAAAGAGAAGAUUACAUACAAAGGAAUGAGUAUUAAAUUUCCAUCAGAUUUCCAACAACAACACAAUGAAAGGAAAAGAAGAAAUAUACCUGUAAUAACCCAGAAUGAAAAGUCUAGAAAAUAAUAUAAUGAGAAUUGGGAAAUAGGGGAGACAAAAGGAUAUGAGAUUAAACUAUUAUUUUUGCCUUAUGCUAUCAGUAUAUAUAUCAACAUUUCUUUUUAUAUAUAAGAAAGGAUAUAAAAGAAAUGAAAAUGGGAGACUAAAGAAAUAUGUCCAUUCUUAAUUAAUGCUUCUCUCCUUAAAGCAACAAAACACAGUGAGGUUUCCUUCCCUCUCAUUCUUCUAAGUUAGUCCUGUAAGCUUGCAAGGACAGUGAAAUGAGAAUGAAAGUGACAUGCGUCACUUCCAGACAAACACAUUUCAUUUCUGUGAGAAACUGCAAUUUCCUUUCCCCAGCCUCAGUAACUGACGAAGUCUAUGUUGAGAUGGAGUCUUGGUAAGCCUGGGAACCUGAGUGCCUAUGAUGAGCAGAGCCCUACUAUCAAAUCUUGUUAGUAGCAAAUAAACUCUGUAUGCAGCAAAUGAGGUCUUGGAAUUGAUUGUUAUGGCAUUGUAACUGAGCCUCUGCUUACUGACAAAGAUGUAUGCGUAUAUUUCUAAGACAUUUCUCACUUAUUUAUUGCUAUUCCUUAAGGGCUUAUCUGAGAAAAGAAAUUGUAAAGUCUUGCCAGAUCCUCUCCCUAGUUACCUGACUUCAGAGACUGACUGAUGGACUGUUGGGUUAUGUCUAGCAACACUUUAGAUGCCUUUCCAAAGAGUAUGUGAGUCCUCCCCGAGCUAAGGAGCGCUAAUAAACCUCUACUUUUAAUAACUAAAGUGCAAAAA